rnacentral:rRNA from 1 species
GAUGAACGCUGGCGGCGUGCCUAAUACAUGCAAGUCGAGCGAACAGACGAGGAGCUUGCUCCUCUGACGUUAGCGGCGGACGGGUGAGUAACACGUGGAUAACCUACCUAUAAGACUGGGAUAACUUCGGGAAACCGGAGCUAAUACCGGAUAAUAUAUUGAACCGCAUGGUUCAAUAGUGAAAGACGGUUUUGCUGUCACUUAUAGAUGGAUCCGCGCCGCAUUAGCUAGUUGGUAAGGUAACGGCUUACCAAGGCAACGAUGCGUAGCCGACCUGAGAGGGUGAUCGGCCACACUGGAACUGAGACACGGUCCAGACUCCUACGGGAGGCAGCAGUAGGGAAUCUUCCGCAAUGGGCGAAAGCUUGACGGAGCAACGCCGCGUGAGUGAUGAAGGUCUUCGGUCGUAAAACUCUGUUAUUAGGGAAGAACAAAUGUGUAAGUAACUAUGCACGUCUUGACGGUACCUAAUCAGAAAGCCACGGCUAACUACGUG